rnacentral:rRNA from 1 species
AUUGAACGCUGGCGGCAUGCCUUACACAUGCAAGUCGAACGGCAGCACGGGUGCUUGCACCUGGUGGCGAGUGGCGAACGGGUGAGUAAUACAUCGGAACAUGUCCUGUAGUGGGGGAUAGCCCGGCGAAAGCCGGAUUAAUACCGCAUACGAUCCACGGAUGAAAGCGGGGGACCUUCGGGCCUCGCGCUAUAGGGUUGGCCGAUGGCUGAUUAGCUAGGUGGUGGGGUAAAGGCCUACCAAGGCGACGAUCAGUAGCUGGUCUGAGAGGACGACCAGCCACACUGGGAAUGAGACACGGACAAGACUACUACGGGAGGCAGCAGUGAGGAAUUUUGGACAAUGGGCGAAAGCAUGAUCCAGCAAUGCCGCGUGUGUGAAGAAGGCCUUCGGGUUGUAAAGCACUUUUGUCCGGAAAGAAAUCCUUGACUCUAAUACAGUCGGGGGAUGACGGUACAGGAAGAAUAAGCACCGGCUAACUAC